rnacentral:rRNA from 1 species
UACGGAGGAUGCGAGCGUUAUCCGGAUUUAUUGGGUUUAAAGGGUGCGUAGGCGGACUGUCAAGUCAGCGGUAAAAUUGAGAGGCUCAACCUCUUCCCGCCGUUGAAACUGGUGGUCUUGAGUGGAUGAGAAGUACGCGGAAUGCGGUGUGGCGGUGAAAUGCAUAGAUAUCGCGCAGAACUCCGAUUGCGAAGGCAGCGUACCGGCGCCAGACUGACGCUGAGGCACGAAAGCGUGGGGAUCGAACAGG